UACAUGGGGUGCAAACGUUGCUCGGAAUCAUUGGGCGUAAAGCGCGCGUAGGCGGUUACUUAAGUCGAAUGUGAAAGCCCUCGGCUUAACCGAGGAAGUGCAUCCGAAACUGAGUAGCUAGAGUACGAAAGAGGGUCGCGGAAUUCCCGGUGUAGAGGUGAAAUUCGUAGAUAUCAGGAGGAAUACCGAUGGCGAAGGCAGGUCUCUGGGCUAUAACUGACGCUCAUGCACGAAAGCGUGGGGAGCAAACAGG
rnacentral:rRNA from 1 species